AAACGACUCUCGGCAACGGAUAUCUCGGCUCUCGCAUCGAUGAAGAACGUAGCGAAAUGCGAUACUUGGUGUGAAUUGCAGAAUCCCGUGAACCAUCGAGUCUUUGAACGCAAGUUGCGCCCGAAGCCUUCGGGCCGAGGGCA
rnacentral:rRNA from 1 species